CUUUCUUUUCACUGUGGCUGAAAAUGGUACCAGGAAGCUGCAUAAAACACCAGUGAGCUCUAUCCCAACAGCAGAUUGCGCUCUCUAGAAGAAAAUUCUGAGAAAAAAAUUCAUAUGCAAGAAAUUUACUGGGGAGUGCUCUCAGACUCUGAACUGUGAAGAAAAAGGAUUGGACAGCAUGUACCUCUGGAGUCCUGAGCCACAAAGUAAGAAACUCAGCUACCCUGAUGUUGCCAUGUUAAAGAGACUAUCUGGAAAAGCCACAAAAAGAUAGAGAAAGAUGCUAAAGGGGCCUCUGCUGUUCUGGCCCCCACCUAAUUGAGCCAUCAGACAGCAUGAACCAUCAGAUAUAUGAAUGAACAAGGCUUCAGGUGAUUCCAGUCCCACCUACAAUCUGAUUCAGCCAUAUAGAGACUCCAAAUGAGAACCGCCAAGCUGAACCCAAUCAACUCCAGUACCAUGAGAGAUAAUAAUAAUAAUACCAAGCAUUAUUAUUGUUUUAAGCCACUAAAUUUUGGGAUCAUUUGCUACACAGUUAUAGAUAACCAUAACUAUACCUUCUUCUCUUCAUCAGGGAUAGAAG
rnacentral:lncRNA from 1 species